rnacentral:rRNA from 1 species
UACGGGGGGGGCAAGCGUUGUUCGGAAUUACUGGGCGUAAAGGGUUCGUAGGUGGCCAACUAAGUCAGACGUGAAAUCCCUCAGCUUAACUGGGGAACUGCGUCUGAUACUGGUUGGCUAGAGUUUGGGAGAGGGAUGCGGAAUUCCAGGUGUAGCGGUGAAAUGCGUAGAUAUCGGGAGGAACACCUGUGGCGAAGGCGGCCCCCUGGUCGGAUACUGACGCUGAGACGCGAAAGCGUGGGGAGCAAACAGG